UGUGUGUGUGUUGAGACUCUCGGGCAGAGAGUCACGGGUUUUCUAGUUAGUUAGUGAUAGUCCUUGUUAGUGUAAUAUAGUUACAGUAUUGUAUAGUAUAAUAAAGUAAUUAAUUAGCCUUCUGAUGUCAUGGAGCUCUGCACAUCAUUCUUCCUGCCUGUCGGGCAUCACAACACUGCUAUCAGCCCCUUGUGCCUCCACCUGCUCCCCCUGGACAGUGCCAGGGCCAGCACUGAUUUACUGCUCAGCACCUCUCACCUCUCUGGGAGACCAGGAGAAACAACCUCGUCCCUCCGGUGGAGCUGCUGCAGAGAUCAAAGACCACGAGGCCAGAAUAGCAGCUAGACCGGAACUGAGCCACUGGGGUUUUGGCCCCAAACAGAAGCUCAUGAGACAAAACUGUGUUGUUUAUUUGAAGGGAUGCAAUUCCAGUGACAGAACUUCUUCAGGUGGAUGCUUCUGACCAAUCUGCUGAAAGGGGAAGAAUGGACUCAUCUUCUGGAAAAUGUAACCUUUACCUCCUGCAGCACCAAGAACCUGUGGCCCACAAGAUCCUGUUUCGGUUUUUUUUUUUGUGUUUCUGACUUUGAGGAAGCUCCAAGACUGGGCUUGAAGGUCCCAAAGGCUGUUCCAGCCACCUAAAUAACAGCACAUUUAUUACCUGUGCAUCAGAACUGUCCAAAUGGGUAACAAAAAGUAAAGUUUAUCAGUCUCUCUUUUCCUACACCAAACUCUUCCAAAGGCAGUGAUGCCUCUGAAACUGUGUAUUGUUUACUUCAGCUCAAAAUGUGAUCUGUGUUUUUCUAAAGAUUCAGCAUGUUUUUCAACUCAGCAGUCAAUCUGCCCAUUGUAGACUGUGGCUGUGGGUGGUGGGGAAGACACAGAGCCACCUUCACAUUUCAAAACACUUCCAUUGCAGACCCAGCCAUUAAACAGACAAAUUGUUUGGCUCAGGCUGAAACCUGAUGUACUCUCAUUAAAGUCUGCUGGCAAUUUUCCCUGAA